rnacentral:rRNA from 1 species
AAAGGCCAACCAAGGCGUCGACGGGUAGCCGGCCUGAGAGGGUGGACGGCCACAUUGUGACUGAGAUACGGCCCAGACUCCUACGGGAGGCAGCAGUGGGGAAUAUUGCACAAUGGGCGCAAGCCUGAUGCAGCGACGCCGCGUGGGGGAAGACGGCCUUCGGGUUGUAAACCUCUUUCGCUAGGGACGAAGCUUUUGUGACGGUACCUAGAUAAGAAGCACCGGCUAACUACGUGCCAGCAGCCGCGGAAAUACGUAGGG